ACACACCACCACACCUCUCAUUCCUGUGUUGUCAUGUGUUGGAUCGGUCUGUGUUGUGAUUCUACUGGUGUUAUUGGUUCUGCUGGUGCGACGGCGUGCUCAAAGGAAACCUGAAGCUCAAAACACUGAUGACACUUCAGAAAACAAAGUCACAUGCACUGAGGUCACUUUAUCAAAUCAUCAACAAAAACAAAAAGAGAGUGAUCCAGCUGGACUCUACUCAGAAGUGACAAUACAAGACGUCACUGCUGGGCAGAAAAGAAAAGACUUUAAACCAGAGCCAGACAUCGUCUACUCUUUGCUGAAGUAGUCCACCAGUCCAACCACUGAUGCCCAGCUGCUGGUCUCUAACUGGUCCUUACCCUCUUCCUUUUGUUCUCACUGAAUUAGACCUGUAUGUCUCAAACAAAUUCUUUUUAACUUGAGUUUUACAAGUUUAUCCUACAUAAUUUAUUACUGUUUGUUGGCUUUUUUCCUCACUCUUAUUUCACCCAUUCAGUCUCUCUGCAGCAGUAAUAUUGUCACAUGUUUUUUGUGUGGGCUUGGAAAGGAAAUCAAAUGGAAAAUUUGACUUAUUUGUAUGUGGCUAACUGAUAUAUGCCCUUCUUUCAAUCAUUCAGUUGCGGAAAACAGAACAACUUCAUUGCAGGAUGUAUAUGUUUGAGACCAAAUAGUUUACAUUUUUACAUCAUCCAGAAAUCAAACAGCAGCAGCUUAGAGUUUUUAUUAAUUAAAACCUACCUUUGAAUUUAUCCACCAAAAGCGGUUCCUGAUACGACUCCAAAGGGAUUUGUGUCUCCUUCUGAGACUGAACUGUGGAUGUAUUUGUUAGGGAAUGGUGUAAAUCAAGAGUGGGGAAACUCCAGGCCUCAAACUAAAAUUUGCAGGACAACACUGCUGAUUUAAAUGGUUAAAUUUCUUCCUCAGAAUGUCAUGAAGUUCCCCAGAGGCCUGUAAUGAUCAUUUGAUUCAGGUGUGUUGACCUAGGGUGCUAUCUAAAACCUGCAGGACACUGGCCCUUGAGACCUGGGGCCAUCCUUGCCAUCCACUGUUAAAUCUGGGUAUUACAGUUCCACUGUUUGAAAUGAUAAGAAAACAUUACUAUGUUAACAGCUAAAGAAAAGACAAACAGUUUACAUUCCAAACUUUUAAGAAAUAAGACAUAAAAUGACCAAGUUUGACUUGUUUGUUCUCAGUUUGACUCUUGUAGUGUUUUCCAGUCAAAUUUGGCCAAUUUCAAAGUUUUAUCUCUAAAAGAAAUGUACGUAGUUUGAUCAGACUGACCUUAGACUUUA